rnacentral:tRNA from 1 species
GCCGCGGUCGCUCAAUCCGGUGGAGCGGAAGGUUCAGACCCUUCUGCUGGAAACAGCAUCUGGGUUCAAAUCCCAGCCGCGGCG